ensembl:lncRNA
UGGCGACUGAUUUUGAUAAAAGCAAGUAACAGAGAAAGAAAAAUAUUUCUUUCACCCUAGUCUGUCAUCACACCAGGAAAGUAUGCCCCUGGAUCCAUACCACUUAAAACCUUAUCCUGUUUGGUUGAGACUGGAGCACCUGACAGUGCCCUGGCAAAGAGCAAUCACAGACCACAUGUUCCCAUGAUCAUUUCAGGGUUGUGUGUAAUUUUGGAUACACUCCGUUCUCUCCUGGGAGAAACAUAUUAGAACUUAGGAGGGAACAGUAAUGGUGUUGUCACGUCCAACUCUUUGCGACCCCUUGGACUGCAGCCCGCCAGGCUCCUCUGUCCAUGCAAUUUCCCAGGCAAGAAUACUGGAGUGGGUUGCUAUUUCCUUCUCCAGGGGAAUCUUCCUGACCCAGGCAUCGAACCUAUGUCUUCUGCACCGGUAGGUGGAUUCUUUACCUCUGAGCCUACCAGGGAAACCCUCAGAGGGCAUUAGGAGGGAGAGCUAAUAGCUGUGAGGGGGUUAGAGGAUGGUCAUUUAGUGCUGGCCACUUUUGCCAUCACACUGUGCUCUUGAAUGACAGUGGGAGGCUAUGUUUAGCUCAA